rnacentral:rRNA from 1 species
AUUGAACGCUGGCGGCAUGCUUUACACAUGCAAGUCGGACGGCAGCACAGAGAAGCUUGCUUCUUGGGUGGCGAGUGGCGAACGGGUGAGUAACAUAUCGGAACGUACCGAGCAGUGGGGGAUAACUAAUCGAAAGAUUAGCUAAUACCGCAUAUUUUCUGAGGAAGAAAGCAGGGGACCUUUGGGCCUUGCGCUGUUUGAGCGGCCGAUAUCUGAUUAGCUAGUUGGUGGGGUAAAGGCCUACCAAGGCGACGAUCAGUAGCGGGUCUGAGAGGAUGAUCCGCCACACUGGGACUGAGACACGGCCCAGACUCCUACGGGAGGCAGCAGUGGGGAAUUUUGGACAAUGGGCGCAAGCCUGAUCCAGCCAUGCCGCGUGUCUGAAGAAGGCCUUCGGGUUGUAAAGGACUUUUGUCAGGGAAGAAAAGGGCGGGGUUAAUACCCCUGUCUGAGGACGGUACCGGAAGAAUAAGCACCGGCUAACUACGU